rnacentral:rRNA from 1 species
CCUACGGGAGGCAGCAGUGGGGAAUAUUGCACAAUGGGGGAAACCCUGAUGCAGCGACGCCGCGUGAGUGAAGAAGUAUUUCGGUAUGUAAAGCUCUAUCAGCAGGGAAGAACAGGACGGUACAUGAUGAAGAAGAGCCGGCUAACAACGUGCCAGCAGCCGCGGUAAUACGGAAGGGCCGGGCGUUAUCCGGAUUUAUAGGGGUUAAAGGGAGCGUAGGCCGGAGGUCAAGCGUGCUGUGAAAUGUCCGGGCUCAACCCGGGCCUUGCAGCGCGAACUGGCGUGCUUGAGUCCGCGGAAGGCAGGCGGAAUUCGUCGUGUAGCGGUGAAAUGCUUAGAUAUGACGAAGAACCCCGAUUGCGAAGGCAGCUUGCUGCAGCGGAACUGACGCUGAUGCUCGAAAGCGCGGGUAUCGAACAGGAUUAGAUACCCGUGUAGUC